rnacentral:lncRNA from 12 species
AUGGAUUAUCCUGCCUUCCCCUUUGUUCAUCUGACAAAAUCCUGCUCUUCUUUGAAGGGACAGUUUAUUGUGACCACAGCUGUAAAGCUUCUAGGACUCUUUCAGCACACUUUAGUGUCCUUUCUCAUUGGUACAUCUGGAGGCUCCUUUGUAAGGAGUCUGGCUGAAAAAAGUCCUUGCACCUUGAGGAAAGGCUCUCCAUCUAGUAGGCGAACCUUAGAACAAAAUCAACCAGGGAUGAAAUGUAGCUGCAAACAAGGCCAAGCAACGGAGUGGCAACCACCAGUGCAGUUAGCUCAAAACUUUGAAAAAAAAAAAAAAAAACAAAAACAAAACCUGGGUGGCUCAGUGUUUGGGCAUCUGCCUUUGGCUCAGGGCAUGAUCCUGGAGUCCCAGGAUCGAGUCCCGUAUUGGGCUCCCUGCUCAUGGAGCCUGCUUCUCCCUCUGCCUAUGUCUCUGCCUCUCUCCUUCUGUGUAUCUCAUGAAUAAGUAAAUCUUAAAAAAAAACCUUUGAAGCAUGGUUAAUUAUUAAUAAAUUAUUAAUUAUGAAUUAAUGCCCUCUAACU